CAGUCGCCGCGGUAAAACGUAGGUGGCGAGCGUUGUCCGGAAUUAUUGGGCGUAAAGGGAGCGCAGGCGGACAUAUAAGUCCAUCUUAAAAGUGCGGGGCUCAACCCCGUGAGGGGAUGGAAACUGUAUGCCUUGAGUGCAGGAGAGGAAAGCGGAAUUCCCAGUGUAGCGGUGAAAUGCGUAGAUAUUGGGGGGAACACCAGUGGCGAAGGCGGCUUUCUGGACUGUAACUGACGCUGAGGCUCGAGAGCCAGGGGAGCGAACGGGAUUAGAUACCCCAGUAGUCCCUGUCUCUUAUACA
rnacentral:rRNA from 1 species